rnacentral:rRNA from 1 species
AUGUACAUGCCUACAACAUAGCAUUAAUGCACCAGAUCCCAUUAGAACUACGCAGUUAAGUGCUCUCGGGCUAGAGUAGUACUAGGAUGGGUGACUGUCCUAGAAGUCCUAGUAUUUUACAUG